rnacentral:rRNA from 1 species
GAUCAUGGCUCAGGACGAACGCUGGCGGCGUGCUUAACACAUGCAAGUCGAACGGAGCACCCUUGAAAGAGACUUCGGUUGAUUGAUAGGAAUGCUUAGUGGCGGACUGGUGCGUAACACGUGAGUAACCUGCCCCGGAGAGUGGAAUAACACAGCGAAAGUUGUGCUAAUACCGCAUAACAUGGUUGUACCGCAUGGUGCUGACCAUCAAAGAUUUAUCGCUUUGGGAUGG